rnacentral:rRNA from 1 species
AUUGAACGCUGGCGGCAGGCCUAACACAUGCAAGUCGAACGAGUGGCGGACGGGUGAGUAAUGUCUGGGAAACUGCCUGAUGGAGGGGGAUAACUACUGGAAACGGUAGCUAAUACCGCAUACCAUCGGAUGUGCCCAGAUGGGAUUAGCUAGUAGGUGGGGUAAAGGCUCACCUAGGCGACGAUCCCUAGCUGGUCUGAGAGGAUGACCCGGACAAAGGGGACCUGGACAAGGUCCCGACUUCCUAGGGAGGGAGGAGGGGGGAAUUGUGGCAAAAGGGGGGAAGGCUGAAUGAGGCCUGGCGGGUGGUAGAAGAAGGGCCUUGGGUUUGAAAGUACUUUCAGCGGGGAGGCGUUACCCGCAGAAGAAGCACCGGCUAACUCCGUGCCAGCAGCCGCGGUAAUUC